CAGGCUUAACACAUGCAAGUCGAGCGUAAGCAUGGUCUUAGCUUGCUAAGGCCGAUGGCGACCGGCGCACGGGUGAGUAACACGUAUCCAACCUGCCGUCUACUCUUGGACAGCCUUCUGAAAGGAAGAUUAAUACAAGAUGGCAUCAUGAGUCCGCAUGUUCACAUGAUUAAAGGUAUUCCGGUAGACGAUGGGGAUGCGUUCCAUUAGAUAGUAGGCGGGGUAACGGCCCACCUAGUCUUCGAUGGAUAGGGGUUCUGAGAGGAAGGUCCCCCACAUUGGAACUGAGACACGGUCCAAACUCCUACGGGAGGCAGCAGUGAGGAAUAUUGGUCAAUGGGCGAGAGCCUGAACCAGCCAAGUAGCGUGAAGGAUGACUGCCCUAUGGGUUGUAAACUUCUUUUAUAAAGGAAUAAAGUCGGGUAUGGAUACCCGUUUGCAUGUACUUUAUGAAUAAGGAUCGGCUAACUCCGUGCCAGCAGCCGCGGUAAUACGGAGGAUCCGAGCGUUAUCCGGAUUUAUUGGGUUUAAAGGGAGCGUAGAUGGAUGUUUAAGUCAGUUGUGAAAGUUUGCGGCUCAACCGUAAAAUUGCAGUUGAUACUGGAUAUCUUGAGUGCAGUUGAGGCAGGCGGAAUUCGUGGUGUAGCGGUGAAAUGCUUAGAUAUCACGAAGAACUCCGAUUGCGAAGGCAGCCUGCUAACCUGCAACUGACAUUGAGGCUCGAAAGUGUGGGUAUCUAACAGGAUUAGAUACCUUGGUAGUCCACUCGGUAAACGAUGAAUACUCUGCUGUUUGCGAAAACCUGCAAGCGGCCCAACCGAAAGCGUUAAGUAUUCCACCUGGGGAGUACGCCCGGCAACGGUGAAACUCAAAGGAAUUGACGGGGGCCCGCACAAGCGGAGGAACUUGUGGUUUAAUUCGAUGAUACGCGAGGAACCUUACCCGGGCUUAAAUUGCAGAUGAAUUACGGUGAAAGCCGUAAGCCGCAAGGCAUCUGUGAAGGUGCUGCAUGGUUGUCGUCAGCUCGUGCCGUGAGGUGUCGGCUUAAGUGCCAUAACGAGCGCAACCCUUGUUGUCAGUUACUAACAGGUUCCGCUGAGGACUCUGACAAGACUGUCAUCGUAAGAUGUGAGGAAGGUGGGGAUGACGUCAAAUCAGCUCGGCCCUUACGUCCGGGGCUACACUCGUGUUACAAUGGGGGGUACAGAGGGC
rnacentral:rRNA from 1 species